UGGGAUUUGGCCCAUAUAACUCUGAGCUCAUACUUUGCUUUUGGUUUUCUUUGUUGUAGCUGACCGAGAGCCUAACAGGCCAUCACAGGGCUCUCCGAGGCAGAUUCAUUUCAGGCGCGACAUGAAUCCACAUCACCCAUCAUCCAAAAGAUAAGUUGGGGGCCACGGCCUGGAGAUGGGAGAGUGGUGGGUUGGGAGAUCUUGGGGCAGAUGUAAAAAUUAGCAGAGGGAAAAGCAAUCUUCCCCAAGGGCCUCUUAGGACAGUGAGAGGGAGAGGCUCUACUUUUGAUGGCAGCUUUCAGGCAGGCAGUGCAGAACAGCUCUGGCCUGUGUCGUGUUGUCCGGUGUGCCGUGUUACCUAGUGUGUCUUUGGGGUCCCUUUUGCCUUUUCCCCUCAAUGCUCUCACCACAAGCAUGAUGUGUCGUGUUUAAUGUCCCCCUUUGUCACGUUCUGUGUCACGGGUGUCUGCUCAUAUUUGUGCCGGAGCUGCUCUGCCCUGCCGCAUAGCCUGCUGCAAUAGGACAAGCCUGGGGAGUUGACAUUUGUAAUUUGGGUGUACAUUGGCUCUAGAUGCUAUUCCAAGAUUGACAAGUUGUUUGCAUGUUGUGAGUUAUCCUGGUGGUGUUUGAUAUAUGUUCUAACUUUCUUUCAGGUGCAGAUGCAUUGCAUCCAUGGCAGAGGGUCAGGGUUAGGAGGUGCUGGGCCUUCUUAGAAGCCUGCUGUCUGAGAGACACCAGCGCGGUGCCAGCAGGAUCUUCCCUGCUGACGAGGUGGCUGUUCUUUGCACCUGAUAUGGAGCAGCACUCCCUGAUAUCUGAGAGAUAAGUAGAGCGCUAAGACCCACAGAGGGGAUGAAAGCAGGGUGCUGGUUUGGUAAUUACUGGGAGAGGUUUUUGAGUCCGCUUUGGAGGUGGGGGGUGUUCAUGAAGUGGCCCCUUAGGCCCCAUAAAAGCAAAGUCUUACUUUUGAUGAAGUGCUGAGGUGCGCAGGGCGGAGCAGUCCCGGUGUGUCUCGUGUGCCUUGUCUAUUUUGCAUUAUGUGUUGUUUGUGUAUGUCAUGUCUUUUACCUUAGGCCUUUGAGGAGCCUGUCAGAAACCCUGGCACCAUUCUUAGCAUCUGUGAUCUCUGCAUUCCUUGGCCUGGCACCCAGAGCAUUGAUGCGAUUCUGAUACCUGUCUGAGCUCCCCAGUCAAAAGUUCUCUCUUUGGAAGCAUCCUGUCAGAUGUCUUUUCAGGUCUUGUUCUGAGCUGUACGGACAGCUAUGCCCCACCUGGAUCCAUUGUGGUGGAUUAGGACUUGUAGUAAUAUGAGGUUAGGUACAGGCUUCUGACUGUAGGAUUCCUGGGCAUCCAUCUUUGCUGUUUUUGGUAUAAAUCAUUCAGUUUAGCAUCUUCUUCCUCCAGGGUUCUCUGAGCCUCAUCAUCUCACCAUCGGUCUCGCCUCGGUCAUCUCCUUUUGCAUUCUCUCUGUCCUCGUAGCCAUUUUCCUUGCCAAGAGAUUUCUGUCCGUGUCUUGUGCCCUUUGUUUGUCACAUCCUGUCUGUCCUGUGUCACGGGUGUCAGCACACAUUUGUGCCGGAGCUGCUCUGCCCUGCCGCAUAGCCUAGUGCAAUAGGGGAAAUCCUGGGGACCUGAAGUUUGUAUUGUGAGGUGUAGGUGGACUCUAGAUGGGAUUUGUAGAUGGACACAAGAUAUCUGGAGCCCUUAAGUUAUCCUGCAGCCCUUUGACUCUUGUCCUAACUUUCUUUCAGAUGCAGAAGGAUAAAAUCCAGGGCAGAGUACCCCAUCCCAGGAAGUCAAGGGCGAGAGCAGCAGUCAAGACCGAGUAGGCAAGGUGCUGUCCUAGGCAUGCCCAGGAAGGCAG